rnacentral:rRNA from 1 species
UACAGAGGUCCCGAGCGCUGUUCGGAUUCACUGGGCGUAAAGGGUGCGUAGGUGGUGAGGUAAGUCGGAUGUGAAAGCUCGGAGCUCAACUCCGAAAUGGCAUUGGAAACUACCUUGCUCGAGGGUUGGAGGGGGGACUGGAAUUCUCGGUGUAGCAGUGAAAUGCGUAGAUAUCGAGAGGAACACCAGUGGCGAAGGCGAGUCCCUGGACAACUCCUGACACUGAGGCACGAAAGCUAGGGGAGCAAACAGG